CAUCUUGUGGCUCAGUUGGUAGAGUGAUGGCUCGUAGUGCCAAAGGUCGUGGGUUCGAUUCCCACCAAGAUGU